ensembl:snoRNA
AUCCUUUAGUAGUUCAUAAGUAUAAUGAUUGGCUUUUUAUGCUCAUGAAUAAGAUGUGCCUCUAUCAAGCCUUGUUAUGACACUGGCACAUUACUUAUCUGACA